ensembl:misc_RNA Metazoa_SRP Metazoan signal recognition particle RNA
GCCAGGCAUGGUGGUGCAUGCCUGUAGUCCCAGCUACUCAGAAGGCUGAGAUGGGAGGAUUGCUUGAGCCCAGGAGGUUGGGGCUGCAGUGAGCUGAGGUCACACCACUGCAUUCCAGCCUGGGUGACAGAGCGAGACCCUGUCUCAA